UUAUCUACUAUUCAAAAUCAUAAAAUAACUAAACUAAAAAAAAAACAGAGUAAGACACAUAAUCUAAAUUUAAAUCUCCACAAUUACAAAGAAAAAAUAAAAUACUAUAGUAACACUAACUCUGGAACACAAACGAACACGAUCAAGCACUAACCCAAAACACCAAAAAAAGGAUCAGAGGAAGAAUAAUCACCGGAAGACCAAAGUCACCACGAAGCAGAAAAACAUAUGCAUAAAGCACAACCACCAGCUAAAAAGUAAAACAAAGAGCCCAUGCCAAUGAAGAACCACAAAACUAUGAAUAGAAGAG
rnacentral:lncRNA from 1 species